rnacentral:rRNA from 1 species
CCUACGGGAGGCUGCAGUGAGGAAUAUUGGUCAAUGGACGCAAGUCUGAACCAGCCAUGCCGCGUGCAGGAAGAAGGCUCUAUGAGUUGUAAACUGCUUUUGUACGAGGGUAAACGCAGAUACGAGUAUCUGUCUGAAAGUAUCGUACGAAUAAGGAUCGGCUAACUCCGUGCCAGCAGCCGCGGUAAUACGGAGGAUUCAAGCGUUAUCCGGAUUUAUUGGGUUUAAAGGGUGCGUAGGCGGUCGGAUAAGUUAGAGGUGAAAUCCCGAGGCUCAACUUCGGAAGUGCCUCUGAAACUGGUCGGCUAGAGUGUAGUUGCGGUAGGCGGAAUGUAUGGUGUAGCGGUGAAAUGCUUAGAGAUCAUACAGAACACCGAUUGCGAAGGCAGCUUACCGAGCUACUUCUGACGUUGAGGCACGAAAGCGUGGGUAGCAAACAGGAUUAGAUACCCCUGUAGUC